rnacentral:misc_RNA from 1 species
AAGUCGUAACAAGGUUUCCGUAGGUGAACCUGCGGAAGGAUCAUUAAACAUAUUACGGGGGGCCGGACCCAGGGUGCAUGCUAACCCAUGUGCCUUGACCUGCUCUGUCUGAAUAUUCCACCCCUGUUUAUUUGCGUACUAUUUGUUUCCUCGGUGGGCUUGCCUGCCGCUAGGACUUAUUAAAACCCCUUGUAAUUGCAGUCAGCGUCAGAAAAAACUUAAAUUUUACAACUUUCAACAACGGAUCUCUUGGUUCUG